GGUUAAGCGACUAAGCGUACACGGUGGAUGCCCUGGCAGUCAGAGGCGAUGAAGGACGUGCUAAUCUGCGAAAAGCGUCGGUAAGGUGAUAUGAACCGUUAUAACCGGCGAUGUCCGAAUGGGGAAACCCAGUGCAAUUCGUUGCACUAUCGUUAACUGAAUACAUAGGUUAACGAGGCGAACCGGGGGAACUGAAACAUCUAAGUACCCCGAGGAAAAGAAAUCAACCGAGAUUCCCCCAGUAGCGGCGAGCGAACGGGGAGCAGCCCAGAGUCUGAAUCAGCUUGUGUGUUAGUGGAACGGUCUGGAAAGUCCGACGGUACAGGGUGAUAGUCCCGUACACCAAAAUGCACAGGUUGUGAACUCGAAGAGUAGGGCGGGACACGUGGUAUCCUGUCUGAAUAUGGGGGGACCAUCCUCCAAGGCUAAAUACUCCUGACUGACCGAUAGUGAACCAGUACCGUGAGGGAAAGGCGAAAAGAAC
rnacentral:rRNA from 1 species